rnacentral:rRNA from 1 species
UAGAGUUUGAUCCUGGCUCAGGACGAACACUGGCGGCGUGCUUAACACAUGCAAGUCGAACGGAAAGGCCCUGCUUUUGUGGGGUGCUCGAGUGGCGAACGGGUGAGUAACACGUGAGUAACCUGCCCUUGACUUUGGGAUAACUUCAGGAAACUGGGGCUAAUACCGGAUAGGAGCUCCUGCUGCAUGGUGGGGGUUGGAAAGUUUCGGCGGUUGGGGAUGGACUCGCGGCUUAUCAGCUUGUUGGUGGGGUAGUGGCUUACCAAGGCUUUGACGGGUAGCCGGCCUGAGAGGGUGACCGGCCACAUUGGGACUGAGAUACGGCCCAGACUCCUACGGGAGGCAGCAGUGGGGAAUAUUGCACAAUGGGCGGAAGCCUGAUGCAGCAACGCCGCGUGCGGGAUGACGGCCUUCGGGUUGUAAACCGCUUUCGCCUGUGACGAAGCGUGAGUGACGGUAAUGGGUAAAGAAGCACCGGCUAACUACGUGCCAGCAGCCGCGGUGAUACGUAGGGUGCGAGCGUUGUCCGGAUUUAUUGGGCGUAAAGGGCUCGUAGGUGGUUGAUCGCGUCGGAAGUGUAAUCUUGGGGCUUAACCCUGAGCGUGCUUUCGAUACGGGUUGACUUGAGGGUAGUCCACGCUGUAAACGGUGGGUACUAGGUGUGGGGUCCAUUCCACGGGUUCCGCGCCGUAGCUAACGCUUUAAGUACCCCGCCUGGGGAGUACGGCCGCAAGGCUAAAACUCAAAGGAAUUGACGGGGCCCCGCACAAGCGGCGGAGCAUGCGGAUUAAUUCGAUGCAACGCGUAGAACCUUACCUGGGUUUGACAUGGAUCGGGAGUGCUCAGAGAUGGGUGUGCCUCUUUUGGGGUCGGUUCACAGGUGGUGCAUGGCUGUCGUCAGCUCGUGUCGUGAGAUGUUGGGUUAAGUCCCGCAACGAGCGCAACCCUUGUUCACUGUUGCCAGCACGUUAUGGUGGGGACUCAGUGGAGACCGCCGGGGUCAACUCGGAGGAAGGUGGGGAUGACGUCAAGUCAUCAUGCCCCUUAUGUCCAGGGCUUCACGCAUGCUACAAUGGCUGGUACAGAGAGUGGCGAGCCUGUGAGGGUGAGCGAAUCUCGGAAAGCCGGUCUCAGUUCGGAUUGGGGUCUGCAACUCGACCUCAUGAAGUCGGAGUCGCUAGUAAUCGCAGAUCAGCAACGCUGCGGUGAAUACGUUCCCGGGGCUUGUACACACCGCCCGUCAAGUCAUGAAAGUUGGUAACACCCGAAGCCGGUGGCCUAACCGUUGUGGGGGAGCCGUCGAAGGUGGGACUGGUGAUUAGGACUAAGUCGUAACAAGGUAACCAA